rnacentral:rRNA from 1 species
AUGAACGCUAGCGACAGGCCUAACACAUGCAAGUCGAGGGGCAUCGGGGCGUAGCAAUACGCUGCCGGCGACCGGCGGAUGGGUGAGUAACGCGUAUGCAACCUACCUUCAGCAGGGGGAUAGCCCGUUGAAAGACGGAUUAAUACCCCAUAACACAGGGGCUCCGCAUGGAGAUUAUUGUUAAAGGGAUGCUUCCUUCGGGGAGUAUCCGGCUGCAGAUGGGCAUGCGUUCCAUUAGGUAGUUGGUUGAGGUAACGGCUCACCAAGCCUACGAUGGAUAGGGGAACUGAGAGGUUGGUCCCCCCACACUGGUACUGAGACACGGACCAGACUCCUACGGGAGGCAGCAGUGAGGAAUCUUGGUCAAUGGACGGAAGUCUGAACCAGCCAUGUCGCGUGAAGGAGGACGGCCCUAAGGGUUGUAAACUUCUUUUGCAGGGGAAUAAAGUAUUCUACGAGAUGGGAUAUUGCAAGUACGCUGCGAAUAAGGAUCGGCUAACUCCGUG